rnacentral:tRNA from 1 species
GCCUCUGAAGCACUGUUGGCUGUGCGGCAGACUUGUAAAAGAAUUCAGUAUUCUUCAUGUAAUCUGCAGGGAACGAGUUCGAAUCUCGUCAGAGGCU